GUAUCUCUAUCUGACUUGCAUCACACGAAGAGAGGUGAGGGGGAAAAGGGGCGGCACUGAGUAUAUAAUAGCCGCCACCACAGUGUCUGCUACUACUUAUUUAAAUUGAAGCAAACAACAACACAACUCUGUGUGAAGAGAAAGGGUUCCGAUGGCCACAACGAUCCACAACCCUAUCCUCUCUCCCUCCGUCCCCUCUUCUCAGAACCACCACCGCAUACACUUCCUUCUCCGUUUCCCACAAACCUCAACACCCUCUCCUCUCCGAUUCAAAUCUAAAUUCACCAUUUCAUGUUCUCAAUCGCAAUCUCAAUUGCAAUCGCAAAAGGAACCCCUUCGGCCGCGCCCUCCCUACAUUCCCAACCACAUUCCGGACCCGUCGUACGUCCGCAUUUUCGACACCACCCUCCGCGACGGCGAACAGUCCCCCGGCGCAUCCAUGACCUCCAAAGAGAAGCUCGACGUGGCGCGCCAGCUCUCCAAGCUCGGCGUGGACAUUAUCGAAGCCGGCUUCCCCGCCGCCUCCAAAGACGACUUUGAAGCCGUGAAAAUGAUCGCUCAGGAAGUCGGCAACGCCGUCGACGAGCACGGCUACGUGCCGGUGAUUUGCGGGCUCUCCCGCUGCAACGAAAACGACAUUCGAACUGCCUGGGAAGCCGUUAAGUACGCGAAGAGGCCAAGGAUCCACACCUUCAUCGCGACCAGCGCCAUUCACAUGGAGUACAAGCUUCGUAUGUCGAAAGAAAAGGUCAUCGACGUUGCUCGCAAUAUGGUGAAGUUCGCUCGCAGUUUAGGUUGCGAUGACGUGGAGUUCAGUCCCGAAGAUGCUGGUAGGUCUGAUAGAGAGUUUCUUUAUGAGAUUCUUGGAGAAGUUAUCAAGGCUGGGGCUACCACUCUCAACAUACCUGACACUGUUGGCAUAACCAUGCCCAUUGAAUUUGGAAAGUUAAUUGCUGAUAUUAAAGCCAAUACCCCUGGAAUUGAAAACGUUAUUAUUUCCACUCACUGCCAGAAUGAUCUUGGCCUUUCUACUGCUAAUACCAUACAGGGUGCACAUGCGGGUGCAAGGCAAUUGGAAGUGACUAUUAAUGGGAUUGGUGAAAGGGCUGGGAAUGCCUCAUUGGAAGAGGUUGUCAUGGCCCUGAAAUGCGGAUCGCAUGUCUUUGGCAAUCUGUACACUGGAAUUAAUUCGAAGCACAUCUAUCUGACAAGCAGGAUGGUCGAAGAGUACACUGGUUUGCAGUUACAGCCACACAAGGCUCUAGUGGGAGCUAAUGCUUUUGCUCAUGAAAGUGGUAUACAUCAGGAUGGAAUGCUAAAACACAAAGGUACAUACGAAAUAAUAUCACCUGAGGACAUCGGACUUGAAAGAUCCAAUGAAGCUGGUAUCGUACUAGGGAAGCUUAGUGGACGCCAUGCUUUGAGAAAACGACUUGAAGAGCUUGGUUAUGAACUUAACGAUGACCAAGUUCAGAGUUUAUUUUGGCGUUUUAAAGCAGUGGCUGAGCAGAAAAAGAGGGUUACUGAUGCUGAUCUCAGAGCAUUGGUGUCAGAUGAAGUUUUUCAAGCAGAGCCUAUCUGGAAGCUUGGUGAUUUGCAGGUGACAUGUGGAACUCUUGGUCUUUCAACAGCAACUGUCAAACUUGUUAGUAGUGAUGGUAGCACGUACGUUGCUUGUUCUGUUGGUACUGGACCAGUGGAUUCGGCUUACAAGGCUGUUGAUCUGAUUGUGAAGGUUUGAAGUUGUGAACCAGUAACUCUUCUUGAGUACUCAAUGAAUGCAGUCACCGAAGGCAUUGAUGCAAUUGCCACUACCCGAGUUGUAAUUCGAGGGGAGACAAGUUGUACAAGUGCAAGUACUACUCAUGCUUUUACUGGAGAAACUGUCCAUCGAACAUUUAGUGGGAGUGGAGCGGGAAUGGAUGUUGUUGUUUCCAGUGUCAAGGCCUAUAUUGCUGCACUAAACAAGAUGUUGGGUUUCAAGGAAACAUCUCCAUCUGCUGAAAAGAUCCCAAUUUCUGCAUCCAAUAUUUGAGAAUGUGUUACCGCUUUGGUCACAGUUGCAUGGGAUUUCUUGUUGUGUUCAACUGCAAAGAGGGAGAGAAUGUUACAGCAGCAUCCUAACCUUUCUCGAGUCUCCGUAUUAAGGGGUUGUGGCUGUAUUUUAACCCCGAAUAUAUUUGCAUUAUGUAGGUUAAGGACACGAGUAGCUUUGGCAUCGAAUGUAAUUUAAGUUCGUUUUAAAUAUUCAGACUACAGGGAUCUUUCCCUUUUCAUUUUUUAGGUUUAUUUGAAAUUAUAAUUGUGCUUUAGUGGU